AGGACGAACGCUGGCGGCGCGCUUAAUACAUGCAAGUCGAACGAGAAGCUUGGUGCUUGCACCGAGUGGAAAGUGGCGAACGGGUGAGUAACACGUGAGAAACCUGCCCCGAAGACUGGGAUAAGCCUUGGAAACGAGGUCUAAUACCGGAUAUCUUUCUUUUACCUCAUGGUAGAAAAAAGAAUGCUCCGGCGCUUUGGGAUGGUCUCGCGAUCUAUCAGCUUGUUGGUGAGGUAACGGCUCACCAAGGCAUCGACGGAUAGCUGGUCUGAGAGGAUGUCCAGCCACACUGGAACUGAGACACGGUCCAGACUCCUACGGGAGGCAGCAGUAGGGAAUCUUGCACAAUGGGGAAACCCUGAUGCAGCGACGCCGCGUGCGGGACGAAGGCCCUCGGGUUGUAAACCGCUUUCAGUAGGGACGAAAGUGACGGUACCUACGAGAAGAAGCCCCGGCCAACUAUGCGCCAGCAGCCGCGGUAA
rnacentral:rRNA from 1 species